rnacentral:rRNA from 1 species
CCCUUAGAUGUUCUGGGCCGCACGCGCGCUACACUGAUGCGUCCACCAAGUUUACCACCUUGACCGACAGGUCUGGGUAAUCUUAUAAAGCGUAUCGUGAUGGGGAUAGACUAUUGCAAUUAUUAGUCUUCAACGAGGAAUUCCUAGUAAGCGUGAUUCAUCAGAUCGCGUUGAUUACGUCCCUGCCCUUUGUACACACCGCCCGUCGCUCCUACCGAUUGGAUGGUCCGGUGAAAUCUUCGGACCGGCGCAACGCAGCAGGGCAACCUGCAGUGAUGUGCUGGGAAGUCGCUUAAACCUUAUCAUCUAGAGGAAGGAGAAGUCGUAACA